rnacentral:rRNA from 1 species
AUACGGAGGGUGCAAGCGUUACUCGGAAUUACUGGGCGUAAAGGACGCGUAGGCGGUUUAAAAAGUCAGAUGUGAAAGCCUAUGGCUUAACCAUAGAACUGCAUUUGAAACUUCUAAACUAGAGUGGGGGAGAGGUCAGUGGAAUUAGUGGUGUAGGGGUAAAAUCCGUAGAGAUCACUAGGAAUACUCAUUGCGAAGGCGACUGACUGGAACUUAACUGACGCUGAGGCGUGAAAGCGUGGGGAGCAAACAGGAUUAGAAACCCCAGUAGUCC